GCCUCGGUGGCUUAGGGGUAUAGCGCGUCCUUGGUAAGGACGAGGUCGAGGGUUCAAAUCCCUCCCGGGGCU
rnacentral:tRNA from 7 species